rnacentral:lncRNA from 1 species
AUGAUCUCCACAGAUUCUAUUUUGCUUUCCCCUCUACCCAUCAGCUGGACCCUGAGGAGCUGGCCCAAAGAAUUGCAAAUAAUGGCAUCCCCUUUAGUUCAGUGGAAUUACUUCAAUUUUUUAAUUUUUUCGACUAAGACAGAAUUGCAAGCUGUGAUCAUGCAGACCACCUAGAUUGUGCAUAUACAAUUCAGAAUUUUACUAGUUAUUUUGUCACCCAGCAAGGUGGAAUGGAAGUGGCACAAGAGAGACUCCCUGGUAGGUCCCUCUGGGUUUUCCUGCAUAAAUCCCAGCACUAGGACUUCAAGGAAGGUUCAGCAGUGGGAAAUGUGCACUGGAGCUACAUGUAGGUCCAAAUUAUCCCAAAGCUUAAAGCAUUGUAAAUACU